UAGCCUGAUUUCUACACCUACCUUUUGAUUGAGCUUGAGGAACAUUUUCAUGACAGAGCAAUUCCAUCAUUAUUGGCGAUCUCACUGUCUGGUGAAAGCAUUUGGCCACRGGGAUGACAAAAGGUGUUGUAAGAGUUCUCAGAGAAACAACAUAUGUCAUGUAGAAUCUGAGGGWGUUACUGGAUAUAGCAAGCUCAGAAGAAGAAUCAGCUUCUCACAAAGCUCAACACAUUACUGUUAUCACAGAUACAUAGGAUUUAAUAGGUCCCUGCUCCCU